rnacentral:rRNA from 1 species
GAGAACUGAAACAUCUUAGUACCCGGAGGAAGAAAAAGAAAAUUCGAUUCCCUUAGUAGCGGCGAGCGAAACGGGAAGAGCCCAAACCAACAAGCUUGCUUGUUGGGGUUGUAGGACACUCUAUACGGAGUUACAAAGGACGACAUUAGACGAAUCAUCUGGAAAGAUGAAUCAAAGAAGGUAAUAAUCCUGUAGUCGAAAAUGUUGUCUCUCUUGAGUGGAUCCUGAGUACGACGGAACACGUGAAAUUCCGUCGGAAUCUGGGAGGACCAUCUCCUAAGGCUAAAUACUCUCUAGUGACCGAUAGUGAACCAGUACCGUGAGGGAAAGGUGAAAAGCACCCCGGAAGGGGAGUGAAAUAGAACCUGAAACCGUGUGCUUACAAGUAGUCAGAGCCCGUUAAUGGGUGAUGGCGUGCCUUUUGUAGAAUGAACCGGCGAGUUACGAUUUGAUGCAAGGUUAAGCAGUAAAUGUGGAGCCGUAGCGAAAGCGAGUCUGAAUAGGGCGUUUAGUAUUUGGUCGUAGACCCGAAACCAGGUGAUCUACCCUUGGUCAGGUUGAAGUUCAGGUAACACUGAAUGGAGGACCGAACCGACUUACGUUGAAAAGUGAGCGGAUGAACUGAGGGUAGCGGAGAAAUUCCAAUCGAACCUGGAGAUAGCUGGUUCUCUCCGAAAUAGCUUUAGGGCUAGCCUCAAGUGAUGAUUAUUGGAGGUAGAGCACUGUUUGGACGAGGGGCCCCUCUCGGGUUACCGAAUUCAGACAAACUCCGAAUGCCAAUUAAUUUAACUUGGGAGUCAGAACAUGGGUGAUAAGGUCCGUGUUCGAAAGGGAAACAGCCCAGACCACCAGCUAAGGUCCCAAAAUAUAUGUUAAGUGGAAAAGGAUGUGGCGUUGCCCAGACAACUAGGAUGUUGGCUUAGAAGCAGCCAUCAUUUAAAGAGUGCGUAAUAGCUCACUAGUCGAGUGACACUGCGCCGAAAAUGUACCGGGGCUAAACAUAUUACCGAAGCUGUGGAUUGUCCUUUGGACAAUGGUAGGAGAGCGUUCUAAGGGCGUUGAAGCAUGAUCGUAAGGACAUGUGGAGCGCUUAGAAGUGAGAAUGCCGGUGUGAGUAGCGAAAGACGGGUGAGAAUCCCGUCCACCGAUUGACUAAGGUUUCCAGAGGAAGGCUCGUCCGCUCUGGGUUAGUCGGGUCCUAAGCUGAGGCCGACAGGCGUAGGCGAUGGAUAACAGGUUGAUAUUCCUGUACCACCUAUAAUCGUUUUAAUCGAUGGGGGGACGCAGUAGGAUAGGCGAAGCGUGCGAUUGGAUUGCACGUCUAAGCAGUAAGGCUGAGUAUUAGGCAAAUCCGGUACUCGUUAAGGCUGAGCUGUGAUGGGGAGAAGACAUUGAGUCUUCGAGUCGUUGAUUUCACACUGCCGAGAAAAGCCUCUAGAUAGAAAAUAGGUGCCCGUACCGCAAACCGACACAGGUAGUCAAGAUGAGAAUUCUAAGGUGAGCGAGCGAACUCUCGUUAAGGAACUCGGCAAAAUGACCCCGUAACUUCGGGAGAAGGGGUGCUCUUUAGGGUUAACGCCCAGAAGAGCCGCAGUGAAUAGGCCCAAGCGACUGUUUAUCAAAAACACAGGUCUCUGCUAAACCGUAAGGUGAUGUAUAGGGGCUGACGCCUGCCCGGUGCUGGAAGGUUAAGAGGAGUGGUUAGCUUCUGCGAAGCUACGAAUCGAAGCCCCAGUAAACGGCGGCCGUAACUAUAACGGUCCUAAGGUAGCGAAAUUCCUUGUCGGGUAAGUUCCGACCCGCACGAAAGGCGUAACGAUUUGGGCACUGUCUCAACGAGAGACUCGGUGAAAUCAUAGUACCUGUGAAGAUGCAGGUUACCCGCGACAGGACGGAAAGACCCCGUGGAGCUUUACUGUAGCCUGAUAUUGAAAUUCGGCACAGCUUGUACAGGAUAGGUAGGAGCCUUUGAAACGUGAGCGCUAGCUUACGUGGAGGCGCUGGUGGGAUACUACCCUAGCUGUGUUGGCUUUCUAACCCGCACCACUUAUCGUGGUGGGAGACAGUGUCAGGCGGGCAGUUUGACUGGGGCGGUCGCCUCCUAAAAGGUAACGGAGGCGCUCAAAGGUUCCCUCAGAAUGGUUGGAAAUCAUUCAUAGAGUGUAAAGGCAUAAGGGAGCUUGACUGCGAGACCUACAAGUCGAGCAGGGUCGAAAGACGGACUUAGUGAUCCGGUGGUUCCGCAUGGAAGGGCCAUCGCUCAACGGAUAAAAGCUACCCCGGGGAUAACAGGCUUAUCUCCCCCAAGAGUUCACAUCGACGGGGAGGUUUGGCACCUCGAUGUCGGCUCAUCGCAUCCUGGGGCUGUAGUCGGUCCCAAGGGUUGGGCUGUUCGCCCAUUAAAGCGGUACGCGAGCUGGGUUCAGAACGUCGUGAGACAGUUCGGUCCCUAUCCGUCGUGGGCGUAGGAAAUUUGAGAGGAGCUGUCCUUAGUACGAGAGGACCGGGAUGGACAUACCUCUGGUGUACCAGUUGUCGUGCCAACGGCAUAGCUGGGUAGCUAUGUGUGGACGGGAUAAGUGCUGAAAGCAUCUAAGCAUGAAGCCCCCCUCAAGAUGAGAUUUCCCAACUUCGGUUAUAAGAUCCCUCAAAGAUGAUGAGGUUAAUAGGUUCGAGGUGGAAGCAUGGUGACAUGUGGAGCUGACGAAUACUAAUCGAUCGAAGACUUAAUCAA